GAGGCCUUAGAACUGUACAGGCCCGAUUUCAUCAGUCGUUCGCGGAGGCGAGUGAUGCGAUUGGAGCAAAGAGUGCUGGAGAGGCGGGAGCUCCGCCGUAAACCCCUCCCACAGGAAGCAGGAAGCUUUCACAGAGGACAGAACUGCACCAAGCCUCACCCCCUUAGCGAUCUUCACCAUAAGCCUGGAGAAAGAAUCAUCUCAGGACGGGAAAUGCAGCUUCGAUCACGUCGCAUGUAUAAGCGGUUACCUGAGGUCACCUGGAGAAGGCAGCAGGAGCUCAGGAGAGUCACAUCACAGACCAACCGCCUCAGAGCACAGUUGUACAAACAGAAACUUCUGGAUCAUAUUCUCCAGAGGACUACACACUGAUCUGACGCUUCCUAAAUCCCCUCGCCACUACACACUCUCUAAUCUUGUCUGCACUACACAACUGUGUAUACAUGUGAACAUUAGUGCUGCUACAGUGCCAUGAAUGCACUUAUUGUACUCAGCGGUUUAUUUUGCUUUUGAUUUUUUUUUUGUAGAAAAGCCACACUCUCGAGUGUAGUAUAUUAUUUAAGUGGGUUAGUCAUGCUAGUGCAGAUUUUCUGAGAAAAAAAAACAAAACAAAUCUGCACGUUCGCACCUGAAGACUGUGUAAAAAUAGUUUGGAAUUGAGUGUAUCUUCUGAAAAAGAUUUUUUUCUGCAAUAAUACAGCAGUGAUGUGUGUUAUUACUGUAUGUCAGGGUUGUCAAACUGAAAUUCACAAUGGGCCAAAAUCUAAAUCUGGGACAACGUCAUGGCCCGAACUCAAUGUUUACCAAAUAAAAAAUGUGCAAGCACAGACUUAAUAUUUAGAGGAAAAAAUUUCACAAGCACUCAUUCCGACCAUAUUCAGUAUAGUAGUUGGAGUGUACCU